rnacentral:rRNA from 1 species
ACGGCUCAGUAACACGUGGCUAACCUGCCCUUGGGACGGAAUCAACCCCGGGAAACUGGGGCUAAUCCCCGAUAGGUGAAGAACUCUGGAAUGAGUCUUCGCCCAAAAGGCGUCAGAUCAUGCUUCUGGCGUCGCCCAAGGAUGGGGCCGCGACCGAUCAGGUUGUUGGUGAGGUAAUGGCCCACCAAGCCUAUUACCGGUGCGGGCCGUGAGAGCGGGAGCCCGGAGAUGGGCACUGAGACAAGGGCCCAGGUCCUACGGGGCGCAGCAGUCGCGAAACCUUUGCAAUACACGAAAGUGUGACAGGGUCAUCCCGAGUGCCGACCGCUGAGGUUGGCUUUUACCCAGUCUAGAACGCUGGGGGAAUAAGGAGAGGGCAAGUCUGGUGUCAGCCGCCGCGGUAAUACCAGCUCUCCGAGUGGUGUGGACGUUUAUUGGGCCUAAAGCAUCCGUAGCUGGCUGAACAAGUCCCCUGUUAAACCCACCGAUUUAAUCGUUGGUCUGCGGGGGAUACUGUUCGGCUAGGGGACGAGAGAGGCAGGCGGUAUUCCCGGGGUAGGGGUGAAAUCCUAUAAUCCCGAGAAGACCACCAGUGGCGAAGGCUGCCUGCUAGAACGCGCCCGACGGUGAGGGAUGAAAGCUGGGGGAGCGAACCGGAUUAGAUACCCGGGUAGUCCCAGCUGUAAACGAUGCAGACUAGGUGUUUGGACGGCCACGUGCCGUUCUAGUGCCGCAGGGAAGCUGUUAAGUCUGCCGCCUGGGGAGUACGAUCGCAAGAUUGAAACUUAAAGGAAUUGGCGGGGGAG